UGGGGAGUGGCCAAGCUGGUAAGGCGCCUGAUUCUGGAUCAGGUAAUCGUAGGUUCGAAUCCUACCUCCCCAGCCA
rnacentral:tRNA from 1 species